AUCUUGGUCAAUUAGCGGAAGCUUGAACCAGCCAUGCCGCGUGCAGGAAGACUGCCCUAUGGGUUGUAAACUGCUUUUAUACGGGAAUAAACCCCUCUACGUGUAGGGUGCUGAAUGUACUGUAAGAAUAAUGAUCGCCUAACUCCGUGCCAGCAGCCGCGGUAAUACGGAGGAUCCGAGCGUUAUCCGGAUUUAUUGGGUUUAAAGGGUGCGUAGGCGGCCUAUCAAGUCAGAGGUGAAAGACGGUAGCUCAACUAUCGCAGUGCCUUUUAAACUGGUGGGCUUGAAUGUACUUGAGGUGGGCGGAAUGUGACAAGUAGCGGUGAAAUGCAUAGAUAUGUCACAGAACCCCGAUUGCGAAGGCAGCUCACUAAAGUAUGAUUGACGCUGAUGCACGAAAGCGUGGGGAUCAAACAGG
rnacentral:rRNA from 1 species